rnacentral:rRNA from 1 species
CGAUAAUUCACGAUUUACUUUACUUAUUUUGUCAUUCAAUUUGUAUACCGCCGUCAUCAGAAUAUUUUUUUAGAAAAUGAAUUUUCUAUACUUUUAAUUAAAUUAUAUGUCAGGUCAAGGUGCAGUUUAUGAAUAAGAGGAGAUGGAUUACAAUAAAUUUAUUUAUUAUGAAUAAGGAUUUGAAAAUAUCUUUUGAAGGUGGAU